CCCACUAAGUUAAAGCAUAUCAAUAAGCGGAGGAAAAUAAACUAACAAGGAUUUCCUUAGUAAUAGCGAGCAAACCGAGAAGAGCCCACCAUGAAAAUCGAUUGUCUUUGGCAUCUGAAUUAUAGUUUAGAGAAGCGUCCUCAGUGGCAGACCGGGCCCAAGUCUCCUGGAAGGGGGCGCCAGAGAGGGUGAGAGCCCCGUCGUGCCCGGACCCUGUCGCACCACGAGGCGUUGUUGAUGAGUCAGGUUGUUUGGGAUUGUAUCCCCAAUCAGGUAGUAAAUUUUGUUCAAGGCUAAACAUUGGCGAGAGACCGAUAGCAAACAAGUACCGCAAGG
rnacentral:ncRNA from 1 species